UCAGUCAGAUUCUAUGCGUGACACCUCUUUCCUUUGAGCAGACGUGCCCAUGCACAGACAGCAGGUUCUCAAAGCAGGGGACACAUGUCAAUAAUUCCUUUAUAAGCCGAGGAGUUGUACCACACAGAACCGUUGGUGAAGCUCCGCUUCCGAUUUCCACUGGUCAGCAAUUUUCCCAGGUGCAUCAUUCACCCGUUUGGACGUUUGUCAGAUCUCCACUCCCACAUUUCCACUGCUGCCUUGUCGUGUUUUCUCUGUCAGGUACCAAGUUUUUACACGUUUAACAAACUUUUUUUUUUUCUUUCGUUUUUUUUUUUUUUUUUUGGACAAGGGGAGAGGGAAAGCAGAGCAAAGACAGCACGUGGCAGGGGCCUCUGGAAACUGUUAAGGCUGAAGACGUUCUUUGAAAGGGCGUCGCGUGAGAUGCAAAGUGAUCCGUUUGAAUUAGACACUAUUAUUUAACUUAUUAGUGAGUCUCGCAGUGAGGCGAGGAGAAGCGCGUAACAAACUUUAAUGGAAAGUGCAGUUAAAGUCCUCAACUCAGAUGUAGAGUCCACGUGUCUAGCUGUCAGAGUCCCCGGCCGGCCCUAACGAGCCCCACCGGCGCUAACGAGGCAACGACUCCCAGCUGCCGAGGGGCCGCGGCCUCCCGAGCGCAGCUGCGCCUCGUUCGCAGCGCGGGGCGGAGCCGCCCCAAAGCCUCUUAAGCUCCGCCGGAGGCCGCUGGGAGCCACGAGAGGGCUGCCGGAGUGCGUCGUCUGCGGGAGCGGGCUCCGUUUCUCUUGUUUGGUUGCGGCGAGCCGUCUCCCGGUCAAGAUCAGCGCGAACCGGUGAAUCGUUCUGGUGGCGACGGGACCGCGGAAGCGGCCGGCGCUCGGGUCCGUCCUCUCUCGCCGGGCUCCGUUCGGGGGCCGGCACGGGGCUUCCGCCGGGCUGCCCCGGCUGCUCGAAGCCCGGGUCACAUCGGCGCCCGGCUGCCGUCGCGUUUUCGGAGGGAGCUGCCGCUCGGUUCCCCGAGUGCUAACGCGGUCCUGAGGGCUCUCAGUCCCUCCGGGGCUUUUCGGCGGGGACUUCGGUUUCUCCCAGCCUUAUCGGCUGAGCGGAGGUUGCAGCAAAACCUCUCGUCACCCCGACCCGGUGAGAUGGUGGAAGCGGUGUUUGGGAGUCACUUGCUUCAGGAGCCUGACCUCGUUGCCAUCAUGAAGACGUGGUGGGAGAGCUCCCACGACUGAAAUGCUGUUGUGGAUGGCGGCGUUCCUUAUAGGAGAGACAAACAGGUGAGGUGGUGGAGUUUCUCUUCCGACGAGAGAACUGGAAUGUACUGAGCCUCCACGACAAGGUGAUGGGACAGCUUGGGUCUAGAUGACAGCUGCAAGUGACCUGAUGAGCAAAAAUUUCGAAGUGGUCAUGGUGAAUUCGGUGAGGGGGAAUGAUGCUGGACCAAGGAGGUAGCCUUCUGUGUUGUGACUGGUUAGACGAGAGAAGGGCUGUGGGGGAAUAUCUUACUGUCGGUAACUAUCUGAAGUGCGGGAGUCUUGCUGACGGUGACGACGGGCUCAUUCAGGCACCGACAGGAGGCGUGAGGUGGAAACACUCACAGACCGGAACGUCAAAAGUAAGACCGCUUGUGCUGCGAGAGCGAUAGAAUGGGCUGCGGAGUCUCCUUCUCCGGGGGUCUGCAGGUUGCGUCCGGAUGCUUUUCCGGGUGAUGUGUAACAGGGAAACGGCCCCGGUCGACAUCGUCGCAGGGCGAGUGCCGCAACGGAGCAUUUAGCAGCGAGGAUCCGCCUGAGCGUGGGAGCGGUUUCACCGGCGGUGAGCGACACGAGGGCUGCCCUCCCCCAGCGUCCUCUGAGGAGCGGUUCACGGAGCUCUCCUGCGUGUCCAGGGCCGGAGCGGGGAUCGUGCUGGUGAGGUAAGCGGUGUCCUCUGGUGCCUGAUCUGUGCGUGCUGCCUCCGGGCUGGAGUUUCCAGCUGGGAUCGGGUGCUGGGGCGUGUGGUUUCUUCUUUGAGUCUUCAAGGUGCGUGUGGUGGCUCUGCUGCUGGAAGAAUGGAAUUGACAGACUGAGGGGAGAAGCGCAGCCUGCGGGAUUGUGUCACCUGUUCCUGCGGGGAGCUUGGUGAGGUCCACCCUGGCCAAGGUGUGUUUUUACUUUAGGUUGUGUUGCAGGAGGCAUCCUGAGAGGAAAGUCCCCGUCCUCGGCCGGCAGGCGUGCUGCACCCAUGGAAGGAGCAGAGGAGAGCCCCCGGGCGAAGGCAAUUCAGCUGCCCUCCUGGAUGGGGCGGAGCCCGGCGGCACCUCUCUGAGAUCCAUUGAAGAGCGGACUGCGAGUGCGGGAGGAUCUCUCGGAGUCUUCCCCGCAAGCCUGGCAAAAGGUAAGCAUUUCUACUGUUCUUUGGUGCGGUGACUUGUUUGGCCUAAGUUUUUUUUGUCUGGGUGUCUUCUAAGUUUGUGGUGUUUUUUGUGUGUUUUUUUUUUUUGUCUGGAUGUCUUCUAAGUUUGUGG